rnacentral:rRNA from 1 species
GACGAACGCUGGCGGCGUGCCUAAUACAUGCAAGUUGAGCGCUGAAGGUUGGUACUUGUACCAACUGGAUGAGCAGCGAACGGGUGAGUAACGCGUGGGGAAUCUGCCUUUGAGCGGGGGACAACAUUUGGAAACGAAUGCUAAUACCGCAUAAAAACUUUAAACACAAGUUUUAAGUUUGAAAGAUGCAAUUGCAUCACUCAAAGAUGAUCCCGCGUUGUAUUAGCUAGUUGGUGAGGUAAAGGCUCACCAAGGCGAUGAUACAUAGCCGACCUGAGAGGGUGAUCGGCCACAUUGGGACUGAGACACGGCCCAAACUCCUACGGGAGGCAGCAGUAGGGAAUCUUCGGCAAUGGACGAAAGUCUGACCGAGCAACGCCGCGUGAGUGAAGAAGGGUUUCGGAUCGUAAAACUCUGUUGGUAAAGAAGAACGUUGGUGAGAGUGGAAAGCUCAUCAAGUGACGGUAACUACCCAGAAAGGGACGGCUAACUACGUG